CUGGAACUCUGGGUACCCCUGGACCCUCUGGGAAGUCUCCUCACUCCUCCAAGGAAGCCUGGCCCACUGGAAAGAGCUCAGAGGCAGAGCUAGGUUCUAGUUUGCCUCUGGCUCUAACCCCAUGCAUAGUCUCAGGGAGGUAACCGGUGCCAGCGGCAGUCUAGAGCUGGGGUGUGACCUUUCCUCUCACUAGGGCACCUGCCGGCAAGGCUGUGUGAAUGUGUAUCCUGGAGCCCGGAAGUGUCACGGAGCAGCCUCCUUCAUGUGCACUACCCUCCACAGUGUCUGAGCUCAGCAGUCUCAGGGGUUCUGCCAGCAGGAUCUUCAAGCCCAAACUUCUGUUUGGAGAAGGAUCAUCUCAAGCAGGCCCAGCCUUCCUGGUCUCCCAACACCAGGGGUUGCCUAGAAGCCACGCGGAGCCCUCCCCGAAAUGCUUUUCCCUCCAUCUGUCCCACCAUCUGCUCCCGUCAGGAUUUUCCAAACCGUUUGGGACCAAAGAGGCAACAAGAUGCUGGGAAAGUCCCCUCCCCUGGAACUUGCUCGCCCUUCCAUGGACCUGCUACUGCCUGGCUCUCUCAAUUACCUGCCUCUGCUUCUACCCCACCCCUGCCUCUCCCUCCUCCUGGGUGCCUCAGUCUGAGGUGGGAGGGACUAAGUAUCACCAGCAAGGACACCGCCCCACACACAAGAGGCUUCUAGGGUCAGGAGGCCUCAUCCAUUCAUGCUUACAUCACCUGUCUGAUCUCUCUGCUCAGAAAGGGGAAGAGACUUGCUCCAGGUUGUCCAGAGCGAGGGACCCAGGGCUGCUGCCCGGCUGCCUCUCGGCCCCCCUUUUCAUGGCCAUAUCUUAGGGCACUAGGGCUUGGACCAAGUGCCGUGUUGUGCAGUGUGGGGAGGCCUGAACCUUUUUUUGGCUGUUGGGGGGUGGGCUUCCAAUGCUUCUUGGUCCCCCUGGAAGGUACAGGUGGCUGAUGGGAAGUAGCAGCAGAACCCACUAGGGUCCACACUCUGCCUCCAGAACCACCCUACACAGUCUAGGCACAGGGAAAGACAAAGGCAGGAGGGGGCUCGUGGGGAGGCGAGACAUGGCCUUGCCUUCCAAAACCCCUAUCUAUUGGGGAGACAGAAUGUAGACUGGGGGUCCUGAAGGCAGGGCACCAGAGUCACCCUCAAAGAAGAAAGGUGGUUGGUGGUGGGGGUGCUGGUGGUGGGAAGAAGUCAGCCCCUGAGGGGGUGAGCCUACAGAAGACUGAGAUGGGAAAGUGGGGAGAAGGCAGAGAGGAAGCUGAGCAGCCCAAGAUGGGGAUAAAACAAGUCCCCCAAGUUUAAAGAGGAGGAUCCAGACCACUCAGGAGAGAGAGGAAGGGGUGAUUGGGGAGGGGGUGAGGCAGGGCAGGACAGUCUCCCUGACCCCAGCACAGCUGGCCCCCCAAGCCUGGUGGGGAAACAGGAAGGAGCUUGCCACUGGAGGGCCCUGGGGUGGGGGCUGAGCAGAGAGUCUCUCCCAGCCCCCAGGUCCUCACGCAGGAGGCAGCUGGGAACCACCCACGCUCAUCUGGCGUCUCUCACGCCUCCACUGGGGGUCCCAACAUCAGAGCCAAGGCACACAGUGGAGCCGGUGUUCCGGAGAGCCCAGCUGUCCCCACCCCACCCCAGCCUGGCUCCUCAGUUCCUCCAGCUGAGACCUCCCCCCCUGCCUCCAAGCAGGAGGGACUAAGGCUAGACUCUGAGGACUUGAGAGGCUUGGUGUGGGAGCCUGGAGGUGGAGCCCUGGGGAACCAGAAGGGGCUGAGCUGCCGAUGCUGAAGAAACUCCGGGCUGGGAAGGGCCCUCCGGGCAGACGGCUAAUGCUGCCGGCUUUACCUGCAAAGUAAAUCCAGAAACCAGACUCACCCCGGCCAUCUCUCAACCUGAAAUGGCCCCCUGCUCCCACCUUGCCCCCAACUCCUCAAAGUCUGUUCUUGACAUAAUAGCCCAAGGAAGCUGACCACAUAGAGGUCACACCCUCUCACUCUGCUCAAAGCCCCCAGGACUUCCCAUCUCAUCUGGAAUAAAAAGCCUAAAGUCAUUAUCAUAGACCCCUAGGCUCUAGAUGGCCCCAAUGGCAGUUACCAUUCUAACUGCCACACCCCAAUCCCAACGUUUAAAAACACACGUCUAAUAUCAACAUGAAUAUUGUGUCCAUUGUUUUUGUCUGCGUCUGUAGUCCCAUUACCUAGAUAGAACAAUGCUGGCUGCAGAACUAGUGUUUUAUACGUAUUUGUGGAAUGAAUGGAUGAGGGUGCAUACAUUGGAAAAAUUAUUUGAACCCUCUGAGCCCAUUUCUUCAUGGGGACAAUAAGGACGAACCUCUAGAAAUGGAAAAAGGACAAAAUCUCAGUCCAGCAUGCGGAGAUUGUUGCUGAGGCUGGGGGCAGGAGGAGCUGGGCUGGGGGUCAUUGACUCUGGAGAGGAGCUGUGCGCUGGGCAGGCAGUGGGCAGGUGCCACAGGAUCCCCAGGCAGAAGAUGUUCUGCUCUCCUGUCAUGGCCUGCACAGUCAGAGGCUGGGGAGGGAGGAAGGGAGGGGGUUUCCUUGAUUGGAGGGGGGAGUGGGAGGAGCAGCUGAUACCAAAGUUGGGAGGUGGGAUUAAUUCUGAGAGGGGGUCGGGGUGAGGUCUGGAGUGGUCCAAGGUGGAGGUGGGGAAGGGGGCGUGUCUGGCCCCCUACCCCGUGUCUGGGGGCGUGUCUGGCCCUCUACCCCGAAGACCUCAGUAGCUGGAGGAAUGGGCGCUCCACCCUUCCCGAAGAGCUCCCAGCUCCGUUAGUUGAGAGUUGAGGCGCAGGAGCGGGGAGGGUGCCCAGGGUGCCGAUUCGGCCCUCGAAGCGACGUGCGGCUCAGAGCCCAG
rnacentral:lncRNA from 10 species